AUUGAACGCUGGCGGCAGGCCUAAAACAUGCAAGUCGAGCGGAGCGGCGGACGGGUGAGUAAUGCCUAGGACUCUGCCUGGUAGUGGGGAUAACGUCCGGACACGGGCGCUAAUCCCGCAUACUAUCAGAUGAGCCUAGGUCGGGUGAGCUAGUUGGUGGGGUAACGGCCUACAAAGGCGACGAUCCGUAACUGGUCUGAGAGGAUGAUCAGUCACACUGGAACUGAGACACGGUCCAUACUCCUAAGGGAGGCAGCAGUGGGGAAUAUUGGACAAGUGGCGAAAGCCUGAUCCAGCAAUGCCGCGUGUGGGAAGAAGUUCUUCGGAUUGUAAAGCACUUUAAGUUGGGAGGCGUUACCAACAGAAUAGGCACCGGCUAACUUCGUGCCAGCAGCCGCGGUAAUUC
rnacentral:rRNA from 1 species